CACACGCACACGGUCGUGCGCAGGAGCACGCAAUCGCGUGACACCGGGUUGAAAGAAAGACGUCAACUCUGGAGUGACCGAAAAUUUGCGGUGCUGGUUUGUGUGACGUAAGUUCAACUAUGAUUGACUGCUAUUUAAAAACGGUUGAAUGCUUGAAAUACUAAGAUUAUGGAGUUGAUAGUGCAAAUAAUUAUAUUGCCGUUGUCAAAUAAUAUUAACAGGUAUUAACAGCUAAUAACAGAUAACAAAAGCGUUGCUUCAUAGGCUAAUGUAGGCCUACGUCGCCACCUGUCCCUCGGGUAGGCUAGCUAGUUCGUUAGUAAUUGAAAUUGAACAAUGAGAAAGGCUUAGAUAAGUACCAUACACAGCAUCAUGUUAGAAGGUAAUUUACACAAUGUAGUCGGCUGUUUGUAAAAAAUAGUUUGUUUUUAGUGAUUUACUUUUUUCUCCCUGCAGCUUCAAAUAAGCAUCAUACAUCUUAACUAUCUCUCUGCCAAUGCUAAUAUUUUACAUCUAUAAUCUUUCUUAUCUAUCUACUAUCUGUGUAUCUAAUCUGUUUUGUUUAUCUGUCUAUUCGGUUUGUCUGUGUCUUUGUAAAUUAGGUAAUCUUUCAAUAUGCCAGGCAGCACAUGUAAAACAUGCCCCUCCUGCAAAACCAUUCUGCCUUGCGCUAAAAAGGUUUGCAGCCACUGCAAAAUGGUCCAGCCUGUAAAGGAACGCCUCAAAAUUGCCUUGAGAAAAUUUGAGGCUAAGCGGGAAGAGUGGGCGUCUUCCCGCAAGAAGAACCACAACAUGGCUGUUGUCAAGCAGGAAAUGUUCCUCCUGCUCGAAAAGCUUCAAGCAGCAGGAUAUAAACCUGUCCUGCUGCUUGGAAAAGCCACUAAAAAGAGCCAUGUGGUCAAGGUGUUCACACCUCGUUGCACCUUGGCCACAUUUGCGGAGGAGUCCCUCAAAAAAAUGGGCUCCAUCCAUGAGUACAUUUGUCAAGGAUGGACCCCUUUUGCAAGUGGGACUGCAGAGGGGCCAGAAGAGGGCAGGGGGACCACUCAGGUGAAGACAUACAGGAAUAUCUAUGACAAUUAAAGAGGCUAAUCCUAUAUAUUGUUAUAUACUGCAUAUAUACUCCAAUAUAUUAUGCUACAAAUUACAAUAUACUAAGUCAGCUGUAUAAGUGCUAACCUCUUUUCAUGUUUGUUUAUGGUUAUUUAUGUGUAUAGAUGUGUAUAGAUCUGUAUGGUCUUAAUUUCAUAUUUUUUAAAACUGAAUUUACACUUGCACUGUUGAAGUUCCACUGUUGGACUUUGAGUGAGUGUUAUCUUAUGUCAUCUUAGAUGGACAUGGACA